rnacentral:rRNA from 1 species
AUUGAACGCUGGCGGCAGGCCUAACACAUGCAAGUCGAACGAGUGGCGGACGGGUGAGUAAUGUCUGGGAAACUGCCCGAUGGAGGGGGAUAACUACUGGAAACGGUAGCUAAUACCGCAUACCCUCGGAUGUGCCCAGAUGGGAUUAGCUAGUAGGUGGGGUAAUGGCUCACCUAGGCGACGAUCCCUAGCUGGUCUGAGAGGAUGACCAGCCACAAUGGAACUGAGACACGGUCCAGACUCCUACGGGAGGCAGCAGGGGGGAAUAUUGCAAAAUGGGCGCAAGCCUGAUGCAGCCAUGCCGCGUGUAUGAAGAAGGCCUUCGGGUUGUAAAGCACUUUCAGCAGGGAGGCGUUACCCGCAGAAGAAGCACCGGCUAACUCCGUGCCAGCCGCCGCGGUAAUUC